rnacentral:rRNA from 1 species
GACGAACGCUGGCGGCGUGCUUAACACAUGCAAGUCGAACGGAAAGGCCCCUUUGGGGGUACUCGAGUGGCGAACGGGUGAGUAACACGUGAGUAACCUGCCCUUGACUUCGGGAUAACUUCAGGAAACUGGGGCUAAUACCGGAUAGGAAUCCUUGCUGCAUGGUGGGGGUUGGAAAGCUUCGGCGGUUUUGGAUGGACUCGCGGCUUAUCAGCUUGUUGGUGGGGUAGUGGCUUACCAAGGCUUUGACGGGUAGCCGGCCUGAGAGGGCGACCGGCCACAUUGGGACUGAGAUACGGCCCAGACUCCUACGGGAGGCAGCAGUGGGGAAUAUUGCACAAUGGGCGGAAGCCUGAUGCAGCAACGCCGCGUGCGGGAUGACGGCCUUCGGGUUGUAAACCGCUUUCAGCAGGGGCGAAGCUUGUGGUGACGGUACCUGCAGAGGAAGCACCGGCUAACUACGUG